rnacentral:tRNA from 1 species
GGGAAUGUGGCUCAGUGGUAAGAGUGCUUGCCUGGCAGGCAUGAAGCCCUGGGUUCGAUUCCUCAGUACCA